rnacentral:rRNA from 1 species
UACGGAGGGAGCUAGCGUUGUUCGGAAUUACUGGGCGUAAAGCGUACGUAGGCGGCUUUGUAAGUUAGAGGUGAAAGCCCGGAGCUCAACUCCGGAACUGCCUUUAAGACUGCAUCGCUAGAAUUCGGGAGAGGUGAGUGGAAUUCCGAGUGUAGAGGUGAAAUUCGUAGAUAUUCGGAAGAACACCAGUGGCGAAGGCGGCUCACUGGACCGGCAUUGACGCUGAGGUACGAAAGCGUGGGGAGCAAACAGG